CUAAUAAAACAAAAAAGGCCAAAAAAAAAAAAAAAAAAAAACUCCAUUGUUGAUGAGCUCUGCAGUAAGAAGUAGGAACUCCGUACUGGAUUGAAGACCUCCAUCGUUGAAGACCUACACGGCUACACCUCCAUUGCUGAAGAAGUGCAUUUAAGGGUCUCUCCUCUUGGCAAGUACUGGUAACCAUAGUUCUCUCCUCUGAAAUACAUGUUGCAUGCCACUGAGAAGUGUAAUCACUCUUAUGAAAUCUCCUGUCAUGACCUGGGGUAAAUGGAUUUUAGCCACAACGAGGGGGUUUUCGUUCACUAGGUGCCGCUUCCUUCAAAUCACUUGUAUAUUUGUACCUGUUCAAUCAAAGUUUACAAAUCUGUUUGUAAAGGAGGAUUGGACCACAGUUUCAGGUUUGAUAUCAACUACCCGAUGGGCUUUAUUAAUAGAUCUCCUAGUGAUAUUCCCGAUUGAUUGCUGUUCCUCUAUGCUUCUUUGAUUUAUUUUGGAGUUAAUUAAAUUAAUAUGGAGGGUUCAAAGGUUUUGGAUGGGUCAGGGGUUUGGAGUGCCGGUGUUACUUCACCUAGUGAUGGGUUGAUGCAGCCAAGCAUUAGCUUUAAGGAGAGUGAGAAUCUUCGAAGUGAUCUCUUGGAAGAUUUAGAUUCAUAUUUGGAAGAUAUUGAUGACCGCCUCACCAUCUCAAGGAUUGUGAAUGAUUCCGUCAUCAAGGGAAUGGUGAAUGCUGUCACUGAAGAAUCUGCUGAGAAAAUUGCUAUGAAAGAAUUGGAGGUGCAGAGAUUGAGUGAACGUUUGCAGUUAUAUGAGUCUGGUGCAGAUAGAGUUAAGGAAUUAACUUUCCCAGCUGUUGGAAUUGAUAAUGACGGAAUGAAGUUUAUGCUGCAGUCAAGCUUUCUUGGCACCGAUGUAGAGCAGGGAAAAAGUGAAGAUUAUUUUAGUGAUUUAAGAAGGUAUACAGAAGAGCAGUUUCAGAGGCUCCAAAAAGAUAUCAAUGACCUUAAGGGGUCUAACAUGGCUGGGAGGAUGAAAUCUGCUGUUGGUUCACAGGGUUUAGGUAAUCAUAUUCAAAGAAAGGUUUAUGAUAAAUGGGAGGAGGUGGAUGAAACAAUAAAUAUGUUGAGAAACACUGUAAAUACAGUCUUCUACCGGGUUGACGAUAUAGCCUACUUGUCUAAGACAUCACAUAGUGAGUGGCAGCAGGAUCAGGAGUUUCAGGAAGAAAUUGAAGCUAUAGUGAUUCAGAAUUCUAUCAAGAGCUUACAAGAGGAAUUGAACAUCCAUGUUUGUAGCAGUGAAAAUAUUAGUCAAUUGAUGAAUGAGAUUUCAAGUUUACGAGAAGAGCUAGGUUUUAUUUCAAGGUCUUUAUCCAGUUUUGAGUUGGGUUAUCUACCAUGUCAUGGAUCUCAUGAGAGUGGUGAGGAAUGCAAUGCUACAAGGAACGACAGUGUCAAUCAAAAUGUUUGCAAUCACAUAUCACUUCCGGCGUCCCUUCAAAUGGAAAAUGAUAAACUUGAACCUAAGAGCUCUGUACUAGAUAGAAUGGACUCUGCACAGCUGAAGUGCAUGUCAAGUGAUGAAUUAAUAAGCUUGUUCAAAGCAGAAAUGGUUAACAUGAAGAGAAAUCAUGAGUCCAUGUUGCAACAGAAGACUGAGGCAUAUUUCAGCCUUUGGAGGGAAUUACUAAAAAGAGGUCCACUAUCUGUGAGGAAGGAUAAGGAGUUUGACUCAUUGAAGAAGAAGAUACCAGAGGUCAUUGUAAAGUUGGAUGACAUCCUAAACAAGAAAAAGGAAUUUACUGUGAGUUAUGAAGAUUCCAUGAAUAUUCACAUCUUGAAGGAUAGAGUUAAUGCCAUGCUCUCUGAGAACCAUCAGCUCAAAGAGUUACUUGCAAAUAAGAGAGAAGAGGUAAAGUCCCUAUCAUCACAGGUACCUGGUGCCACAGAUAAAAUUUCCCACCGUUCUUUGACAGGGGCAGACUUGUUCGAAGAAGCAAGGAAAUGGGAUGUUGAAGAUUCAGACUUGAAGUUUAGAGUCAUGCAAGAUAUUUAUGGCACUAUUUUCAGAGAAGCUGUUAAGGAUGCUGAGGCAACAGUGGAUUGGGGCAUCACAAAUUCAGAUAUGGAAUAUAUUAUCAUGCAAGACAUUUGCAGAAUAAUUUACAAAGAUGCUGUUAAGGAUACCCAGGCUGUAGUCAAUAUCAUUAAGGCAGAAUAUGAAAAUGAAAAUAAAAGGAGAGUUUCCCUUGAAACAAUGUUAUUAGAAACUAGGAAAGCCUUAAGGUUAGGGACUGAGGAGAAGGAGCAAUUAAAGCAAGAGAAACUAUCAUUAUCAAAAUUACUGGCAGAGAAGGAAAAAUUGGCAUUGGAAAUAGAGUCUGCAUUAAUGAAGGAGAAGGAAUGCAGUGAGUUGGUUUGUCAAGAGUUCAAUCUGCUAAAAGACUGUGUGAAUCAGCAAGAGAGACUAAUUUCAGAGAGUUUUACGGAAUUAGAUUUAUCUAAGAGUAGAUUUGAGGAAGCUUUAGAAUUUAUAGGUCAAUAUGAGGGAGGAAUUAUGAAACUGGAUCAGAAGCUUAAGCUAGCAAUGGAGGAAUUGUGUGUGGCUGAUGAAGAAAGAAGAGCUCUUCAUGGUGCUAUUCAAGCGAAGGAAGGCACUAUAACAUUAGCUGAAUUUAAAGAAAGGGAGCAUAGGAAAGAAAUGGAAUCCAUUAUUUUAUCUAUUGAAGGGUUGUCAAAAGCAUUUGUUGAUUUUGAGUCUCAACUAACAAAGAAUGUCGCACAGAAUACUUUGAGGUUGGAGAAGUUGACUUCACAAUGCUAUCCACUAGUAAAAAAGGCUACAGUACUUGGAAGAAAAUAUUCUGACCUGCAAAAGGCUGAGGAGGAGGUUGACCUGUUAGGGGAUGAGGUUGAUGCUCUUCUAAACCUUCUUGAAAAGAUUUACAUAGCUCUCGAUCAUUAUUCACCAAUAUUGCAACAUUAUCCUGGGGAAUAUCCUACGCAAAAUGAUAUUCGUCAAUGAUUGUAGCUUCUAACUAUCCGAUUUGUGCAUCCUUUGGAUCACGUCUGAGUGUCCAAAGAUUUUCCAGAGGGCCUUGGGAGGGUGGAUUAGAGAUGGUCCUAACCUUCAGGAAUUCUUCACAAAGUGGCCACUUUGAGACUUGAGCAACACAUCUUGUUGGCACACCAAAGUUCUGACCAUCUCACCAAGUGGCAGUCCCAUGUUUAACAUAAAAAAGGGCAUGCACGAGGCUUCUGCCACUGUGGGGUCUGGGGAGGUUCAUAAUGUACGCAGCCUUAACCCCAGCUUCCCGGGGAGGCUGUUUCCCGACUUAUUGAUAUAAUGUCUGAGGAGGCGACACUUCAACCAUACCGAGUUCAACACGCUUGCCUCAAUCUUGUUUAGCUCGAGGAGCUGGGUAGGGUUGGCUUUUCUAAAUGCCAGAAAAGUGAGCUCAGGCUUGGCUCACUGACUGCUCUAUAUGAAUUGCACAAUACUUUAUUGGAUAUUUUAUUUGGAAAUGAUAAUGGAGAUCCUGAAAUUGGUUGGAAGAGAAUUGAAUGGAGAAAUGGUUAAACCAUUUUAAUCAGCUCGUCUAUGAGGUAAGAGAUAUUCAUCAUAUCAUUUGUGAUUCGAUCCAUCAUAUGACUAUAGAUUGGGAAUGGAUUUGGGUGCAGCAAUCAUUUUCUCUUAUACGUGAUUCUUAAGUUUUCAAGGUCCUAUGGAACCCCCCCCCCACACACACACACACCUCACCCGAAAAAAAAAGAAAAGAAAACAAAAGAAAAAAUCGGGAAAAUUUGUCUUUGGAUUCCUUGCAAUGCUCAUAUUAGGUGUACCAAGUCCUUGGUCAAAUAACAGAGUGAUGCAGAUUCAUCACCAAACUGGGCUUGUUUGGUUAGGAAUAAGUCAGGGUUGGGUUAUAUACAUGUUGGGCUUUCUGUCUAUGGGGUUUUAUUGUAAUAGGCCACUUAUAUGGGCCUGAAUUAUGGGCAUUAUGGUUGCAUACAGGAUUAGCUAGUUUGUUUCCAUACCUAGUUUUAUUUCAUUGCUUUUAUGUCUUUGUUUAAGUCAAUUGAAGCAUGGUCGAAAUGUCCAAUGUUUGGUCCAAUAGCUGGUUCAUUUUAAGUGAUUUCUAAUUAUCAUGUGUUAAUUGUAGUUGGCCAAAAUUAAUUGUUAUUCUUGGCCAAAUAGAAGAGUCGGCUAAGGAAGUCUCUGUAAUCCAUUAGGACUUUGUGUUUGUAAGCCAAGUUAGAGUCGGCUGGGGUUUCCUACCUCAACUCUAACUUCUGCCUUUAAGUUUCAAUAUAACGGAUUGAAGGGCUCAUUACCCUCCCACAAUUUUUAAGAACAAGAAGCUGUUACUGCUGCUGCCAAUAAUCUUCUUGUUUUGUAAGAGUUUCCUUGUGUGAUCAAGGUGAAGGAGUCGGUGUUCAAUCCAAUUGAUGUCUUGUGGUGUGAAGCCUGGACAGUUCUCUUAUUACUAUCCUCCAUUACUACUACUGGUUCUUCUCUUUGUCAUCAAUCAUUCUCUUGAUUUUGCUCAUAACAAGAAAGUAUCGUUCUUGAAGAUUCUUCCAUAAAUUUCCAGAUUUUGAAAGGUUGUAUGUUUCAUGUUUUUUCGGAUUAAGCAAUAAAGGCAUCCGAUUGAUCUGAAAUUUGGAAUAUAGACUUAUCUACCCUAAAUUGGGAUUCCAUUCAAAUUUGGGCCAAUUCCCACGGAUGGAUUUGGAUAUAUUUCCAUAUUUUCAAGUCUGCCCUUGCCUCUUUAUACCUAAAUUGGUUCUGUGCUGCUGCCCCUGUUUGGCUACUGAUUUCACAGCUGAUUUGUGAUUUAGUCCCGUCCCUACUUUUAGAUAUCGGUUGGCAUAUUGUUCUUAAUAUCUGAGACCUAAUUUUGAUCUUGGGAAUUACCUUUGUACCCCCAAUCUGUUACUGUUUAUUAAUCUUCUAGGCACUACAUGAUAACACUUCUGUUUCUUUAUUUCUAUGUUUUUUUGUUCCCAGGAAUAGAAAUCUGUUUGUCACUGCUGGUUCAUUCUUUUGUUCCUGGGAAUGAACUAGGACAAAAAAAGGUUGCUGUGAAAUAGAAAAAAGAGAAGCUUUAAUUUGGAACUAAUUUGUUCCAGAAUCAAAGAGGAGAAAGAGAGGGGGGGGGUGUAGGGUUGGUGUUUCUCUUUAAUGAGCACAUGGUUAAUUUGAUGGGAAAAACAGUAAUUUCAUGUUAAAAAUAAAACAGCACCUUCAAUGCAACUUCAACCACCACCUCCAUCAACACCACCUUGCCCUCCACCAAGUCUUUGGGUAUUCAAUGACAUUUUUGUAAAUUUAUAGAAGUUCCAGAAACAGAAAUUACUGGGCAUAACAAUCACAUUUCUGUUUCUUUUUUGACCCAGAAAUAGAAAUUAUUAUGCGUUACCAAAUGCUUUUUUUUGCCCAAAAAUUUGGCCCAGAAACAGAAAUACCAAAAGUCAUUUCUGGAAUGGAAACAUGGCCUAGAAACAGAAGUGUUAUCAUGCAGGGCCCUGUUAGCUACUGUUUUAUCAUAUCUGUCCUUAAUUGCUGGCAUCUGAAUUGUCCUUUUGAGUAAAGAUCUUGUCUAUUGUCUACUAUUUUGAGUCUUUCAAAUACAGUACUACGUUAAGUAGUCUCCAUUUUAUUAGGGUAAACGUUUCCUUAGAGCUUUGCCUUGACUGUGGUAAGUAUCUUCCAUUUGGCAGCUCAUCUGGACUAAUUUUGUGGAUAAUUUGUCCAUGACAACACCUUCUAAUUUGGCAAGUUUCAGAAUAAAAGCAUCUUGCUUGGUGGCUGUCUUGAGCUUUGAGAUGGUGAAAAAGUAAACUUUGGACCAAUUAAAGAAUAAAAUACAAGGGGAAGGGUUAGAUGUAUGGUGGGCGAUAUGGUUGGGAUGGCCUCAAAAAGUUGUAGAUGACCAAGCUAAAGGGUAGCCUAGCCACCCAAUGAUUGUUAGCCUGAUCUGCCCUCCACAUGGCUUGAAUAGGUGGCAGUUAAGGAAAACUCACCUUGAUGGUGCUUGUAAAGGCAGCUCCUCUUUUUAAUAGUUCUGGUUACUGUUUCUAUUGGGACAUGUUACUGUUUCUAAGGGGAUAUGUUCAAUGCAUGGUAGGGCAUUCUGUUGCUAUGUGCCGACAAAUGUCACAUGCCCGGUACAGGGGCUGGAUCUGCCAGUUCAGCCCUGCACAUGGUAUAUUUAUGUGGUUGUCAGUGGCAGCUUGCUUGGACAGGACCUUGUAAGAAGCAAUUUCUCUUUUUUUGUACUUCUAGUUAUUUUUGUUGCCAGACAGGUUUGCUUAUUUCAGUCAUCAGAAGGGAUGCGGAAGAUGCAUAUUGGAUGGUCCAUGGUUGCACGAAAAAAACUUAGUAGUCAUUUCACAACCGUUGUCUCAUGAUUCUUGGAAUAGCCCUUGGCUGGAUCAGGCAUGUCGGUGUGUUUGGCUUGAUGGGAUCAGUAGAAGACCGUCUGUCCCUGGAAGAGGUAAUUAAGUGUUGAAUGUCGACGACAUGGACAUGAACAGAAUUGCUUCAUACCCUUGAGGUGACAAUCUUCUACAAUAUGAUGCUGAGGAUUCUCCCCUCCUAGCCCAAGUUUCAGAAGUUUUUCCACUAGUUGGUGAUUUGAACCCAGAGAAGAUGGAGAAACAAAGCCAAGAUUUGGCGAUUAGAAUUAUGAGUUACUCAAGUUGACAGUCUAGCUGGGAUAUGGACUGGAUGAGCUUUUCAGGUGCACAUGGUGGCGUAUUUUUGGUGCAAGUGUAUGUCAUAUGUUUCUUUUUGUUAAGCCAAGGAAAUUGGUUUUGAUGGAUGCUUUGUCUCUGAAAAUAUGCAUAUGCAUCCAAUUCAUGCUAGUUUACUGUAUUUUUGUUCCUUUGUAUAUUGGUCAAAAUGUAUAUUUCUUAGUUGCAGUGUCUGUAAUAAGAGAGUAAUUACAUUAUCUAGCUCUUUUCUAUUUGAAACAAGUGAAUCAGGUAUAGGAUCUUUGGAGACCCAAAGUCUUAACCAUUGACUAAA